GACGAACGCUGGCGGCGUGCUUAACACAUGCAAGUCGAACGGAAAGGCCCUGCUUUUGUGGGGUGCUCGAGUGGCGAACGGGUGAGUAACACGUGAGUAACCUGCCCUUGACUUUGGGAUAACUUCAGGAAACUGGGGCUAAUACCGGCUAGGAGCUCCUGCUGCAUGGUGGGGGUUGGAAAGUUUCGGCGGUUGGGGAUGGACUCGCGGCUUAUCAGCUUGUUGGUGGGGUAGUGGCUUACCAAGGCUUUGACGGGUAGCCGGCCUGAGAGGGUGACCGGCCACAUUGCGACUGAGAUACGGCCCAGACGCCUACGGGAGGCAGCAGUGGGGAAUAUUGCACAAUGGGCGGAAGCCUGAUGCAGCAACGCCGCGUGCGGGAUGACGGCCUUCGGGUUGUAAACCGCUUUCGCCUGUGACGAAGCGUGAGUGACGGUAAUGGGUAAAGAAGCACCGGCUAACUACGUG
rnacentral:rRNA from 1 species